CAGUAGCCGCGGUAAUACGUAGGUGGCAAGCGUUGUCCGGAAUUAUUGGGCGUAAAGCGCGCGCAGGCGGUUUCUUAAGUCUGAUGUGAAAGCCCCCGGCUUAACCGGGGAGGGUCAUUGGAAACUGGGAGACUUAGAGUGCAGAAGAGGAGAGUGGAAUUCCACGUGUAGCGGUGAAAUGCGUAGAUAUAUGGAGGAACACCAGUGGCGAAGGCGACUCUCUGGUCUGUAACUGACGCUGAGGCGCGAAAGCGUGGGGAGCAAACAGGAUUAGAUACCCCCGUAGUCCCUGUCUCUUAUA
rnacentral:rRNA from 1 species